rnacentral:rRNA from 1 species
UACGUAGGUGGCAAGCGUUGUCCGGAUUUACUGGGCGUAAAGGAUGCGUAGGCGGACAUUUAAGUCAGAUGUGAAAUACCCGAGCUUAACUUGGGUGCUGCAUUUGAAACUGGGUGUCUAGAGUGCAGGAGAGGUAAGUGGAAUUCCUAGUGUAGCGGUGAAAUGCGUAGAGAUUAGGAAGAACACCAGUGGCGAAGGCGGCCAACUGGACCAUUACUGACGCUGAGGCGCGAAAGCGUGGGGAGCAAACAGG